AGUGAACGCUGUCGGUAGGCCUAACACAUGCAAGUCGCACGAGUGGCGGACGGGUGAGGAAUACAUCGGACUCUACUCUGUCGUGGGGGAUAACGUAGGGAAACUUACGCUAAUACCGCAUACGAUUGAAUGAGCCGAUGUCGGAUUAGCUAGUUGUCGGUGUAAAGGCCCACCAAGGCGACGAUCCGUAGCUGGUCUGAGAGGAGGAUCAGCAACACUGGAACUGAGAUACGGUCCAGACUCCUACGGGAGUCAGCAGUGGGGAAGAUUGCACAAUGGGCGCAAGCCUGCUCCAGCCAUACCGCGGGGGUGAAGAAGGCCUGCGGGGUGUAAAGCCCUUGUGUUUGGAAAGCGGGACCCAAAGAAUAAGCACCGGCUAACUUCGUGACAGCCGCCGCGGUAAUUC
rnacentral:rRNA from 1 species